GAUGAACGCUGGCGGCGUGCCUAACACAUGCAAGUCGAACGGUCUCUUCGGGGAUAGUGGCGGGCGGGUGAGUAACGCGUGAGAAACUACCUUUAGGUUCGGGGCAACAGUUUGGAACGGCUGCUAAAACCGAAAGUGUCGCAAGAUGAAAGAUUAAAUUCCUGAAGAAGAGCUCGCGUCCGAUUAGCUAGUUUGUGUGGUAAGAGCGCACCCAGGCGACGAUCGGUAGCUGGUCUGAGAGGGUGAUCAGCCCCACUGGGGCUGAGACACGGCCCCGACUCCUACGGGGGGCAGCAGUGGGGGAUUUUCCGCAAAGGGCGAAAGCCUGACGGGGCAACGCCGCGUGAGGGAGGGAGGCUCUUUGGUUUUAAACCUCUUUUAUCAAGGGAGAUAAAGACGGUACUUUAUGAAACAGCAUCGGCUAACUCCGUGCCCGCAGCCGCGGUAAAACGGGGGGUGCAAGCGUUAUCCGGGAUAAAUUGGCGUAAAGCGUUCGUAGGUGGUUAUGUAAGUCUGCUGUUAAAGCGUGUAGCUUAACUACAUAUAGGCAGUGGGAACUACAAGACUAGAGUGCGUUCGGGGCAGAGGGGAUUCCUGGUGUAGCGGUGAAAAGCGUAGAUAUCAGGGAGAACACCGGUGGCGAAGGCGCUCUGCUAGGCCGCAACUGACACUGAGGGGCGAAAGCUAGGGGGGCGAAAGGGAUUAGAUACCCCCGUAGUCCUAGCUGUAAACGAUGGGUACUAGGCGUUUUCUGUAUCGACCCGGGCAGUGCCGUAGCUAACGCGUUAAGUAUCCCGCCUGGGGGGUACGCAGGCAACUGUGAAACUCAAAGGGAUUUACGGGGGCCCGCACAAGCGGUGGGGUAUGUGGUUUAAAUCGAUGCAACGCGAAGAACCUUACCCAGGCUUUACAUGUCCCGAAAUUCUUUGGAACGAGAAAGUGCCUUCGGGGGCCGGGACACAGGUGGUGCAUGGCUGUCGUCAGCUCGUGUCGUGAGAUGUUUGGUUAAGUCCCGCAACGAGCGAACCCUCGUUUUUAGUUUCCCGCACUUAGGGUGGGCACUCUAGAGAGACUGCCGGUGACAAACCGGGGGGAGGUGGGGGUGACGUCAAGUCAUCAUGCCCCUUACGUCUUUGGCUACACACGUACUACAAAGCUAUGGGCAAAGAGCAGCCCACCCGCGAUGGUGCGCUAAACUCAUAAACCCUGGCUCAGUUCAGAUCGCAGGCUGCAACUCGCCUGCGUGAAGUAGGGAUCGCUAGUAAAUUCAGGUCAGCAUACUGCAGUGAAAUCGUUCCCGGGCCUUUUACACACCGCCCGUCACACCCUGGGAGUUUGUCAUGCCCGAAGUCGUUACCCUAACCGUUCGCGGGGGGGGGUGCCGAAGGUGGGGCUGGUGACUGGGGUGAAGUCGUAACAAGGUAGCCGUACCGGGAGGUGUGGCUGGGUCACCUCCUUU
rnacentral:rRNA from 1 species